UGGGUGCCAACCAAACAAAUCUUGAUUCACAAGACGGACUACUGUUACAUCGUCCUAAAAGGGUAUAGACGGGGCCCAAGAGAAAGUAUUGUUGUGUACAAGGAACAAUAUAUCACUGAAUGAGGAACAAACAGUUCGAGAUCAAAGGAUAAAUGUCUUGGAUCCAAGAAAUAGAUAGACUCUGAAUCAAAGAGAAAAGUGGUGUUUAAA
rnacentral:lncRNA from 1 species